CACAGCUUUGGUCCUGACCUUACUAUUAGUCCUCAGCAAACUUACACAUGCAAGCAUCCGCACUCCAGUGAAAAUGCCCUUUAGUCCCCCCGACCAAAAGGAGCAGGUAUCAGGCCCACAAACCCGAUGUAGCCCACAACACCUUGCUAGGCCACACCCUCACGGGACACAGCAGUGACAAAAAUUAAGCAAUAAACGAAAGUUUGACUUAGUUAUGCUAACACCCAAGGGUUGGUAAAUUUCGUGCCAGCCACCGCGGUCAUACGAUUAACCCAAACUAAUAUCUACCGGCGUAAAAUGUGUUUAGGAUUUCAGAACAAUAAAGUUCAACCGAAGCUAAGCCGUAAAAAGCUACAGCCAAAAUAAAAACCUCAACGAAAGUGACUUUAGCAAAUCCGAAUACACUAUAGCUAGGAUUCAAACUGGGAUUAGAUACCCCACUAUGCCUAGCCCUAAACCAAGACACUUAACCAAACCAAAGUGUCUGCCAGAGUACUACUAGCAAUAGCUUGAAACUCAAAGGACUUGACGGUGCUUCACAUCCCUCUAGAGGAACCUGUCCUAUAAUCGACGAACCCCGAUAAACCUCACCACCCCUUGCCAACACAGCCUAUAUACCGCCAUCUCCAGCAAACCUUGAAAAAGCACCACAGUAAGCACAAUUAUAAUGCAUAAAUACGUUAGGUCAAGGUGUAGCCCAUGAGGUGGGAAGAGAUGGGUUACAUUUUCUUAAAAAGAAAACCCACGGAAACUUCUGUGAAACUACAAAAGCCAAAGGAGGAUUUAGAAGUAACUUAAGAAUAGAGAGCUUAACUGAACUCGGGCCAUGAAGCACGUACACACCGCCCGUCACCCUCCUCAAUCCACCAAACAACCAAAAACCAUAUUACCCACCCAUACGGUACACAAUCCUAGAGGAGACAAGUCGUAACAAGGUAAGCAUACUGGAAAGUGUGCUUGGAAUAAUC
rnacentral:ncRNA from 1 species